CCCCUCGCCAGCAGGAACGACUCUCAGCGGCCAGGCAGCAGGGCGGCACGGCCAAAGGCCGAGAUCCCAACCCCACAUCUCUCAGCACCACGCCUCUGAAAGGCCGGGCCGAAGGUACCCACCUGAGUACAGGGGGUCUCUCAGAACUCAUCCUCCUAAGCGCAGGGGGCACGCACAGCCCUGACUACAGGACGGUACCCCACGCCGCACCACGUCCAAAAGCCCCACGGAGCACGCAGCUCCUGCCAACGCCCGAGGUACAGGCGGGCCCGCCCGGCCGCAGCACAAUCAUCACCACGUCUUCAGGAGCCCAGGGAACAACCUCUACCCACACAGCGGGGAAGUCGCCCCAGCCACAAGUAGCACCUCAACCUGCACCCUCUAACGGGCCAGGGAGGGGUCACUCCCACCAGCUGGCUAAAGCAGCCGGCUGCACCAACGCAGCCUCCCCAGACCUGAUUACAGGGGGGGCGGGCCGCUCCGGGGACAGAGGGCUCCACAGUUUGUGACACACGCCCCGAGUACGGGGCUGUCACGCUGGCGUGUCGCCAGCAGGACAGGGGGCCACACAGGCACAGACCCAAACCCUGGAUACAGGGCGGCCAUGGCCACGCAACUACCACACAGCUCUGUUCUGCCCUAGGAAAAAAGGGGCAAGACAAAAGGGGCUGCACGGAGGCCUCAGACCUCAACGCGCCAAGGGGAUUCCCAGGUGACUUAAGGCCAAGUGGCGUGACACACGCCCCGAGUACAGGGCCAACACACGGGCAGGCCACCAGCAGGCAUCAGCGCUGAGCGGCCAGAGGAACAGUGGCAGGGGAAGGGCGCUACCCUGCUUACAGGGUGCCCGUGGGGUCCAGCGAGCUCCAUUUCCCACUCGGGUGCGGAGAAAGCGGCUCUCGCCCUCCUUACAGGGGCCCACCUUCCCCAGGCAGCCAAAGGAGCAACAAGGCAAAAGGCCAACUACAGCAAAGACCCGAGCCCUGCUUACAGGGAGGUCGCCCAGCACAAAGCCGGCCUGGUCACCUAAAGUGCCGGCAACGCUCUACUGCGACAUGACUAUGCCCCUGGUGACAGGGAGAUGCUUUUGCCCAGGCCGCCUCUCCCUUAGCCCAGCCGCAGUCUUCUGCUUCCUCUUCUUGCUCCCUCUGCUUGCAUCCUCCUGCCGCCCGGUUCCACACGUGGCU
ensembl:lncRNA